GAGUUUGAUCUUGGCUCAGGAUGAACGCUAGCUACAGGCUUAACACAUGCAAGUCGAGGGGCAGCAUGGUCUUAGCUUGCUAAGGCCGAUGGCGACCGGCGCACGGGUGAGUAACACGUAUCCAACCUGCCGUCUACUCUUGGACAGCCUUCUGAAAGGAAGAUUAAUACAAGAUGGCAUCAUGAGUCCGCAUGUUCACAUGAUUAAAGGUAUUCCGGUAGACGAUGGGGAUGCGUUCCAUUAGAUAGUAGGCGGGUAACGGCCCACCAAGGCGACGAUCAGUAGCCGGACUAAGAGGUUGAACGGCCACAUUGGAACUGAGACACGGUCCAAACUCCUACGGGAGGCAGCAGUGAGGAAUAUUGGUCAAUGGGCGAGAGCCUGAACCAGCCAAGUAGCGUGAAGGAUGACUGCCCUAUGGGUUGUAAACUUCUUUUAUAAAGGAAUAAAGUCGGGUAUGGAUACCCGUUUGC
rnacentral:rRNA from 1 species